rnacentral:rRNA from 1 species
CACCAGACUCCUACGGGAGGCAGCAGUGGGGAAUAUUGGGCAAUGGGCGCAAGCCUGACCCAGCAACGCCGCGUUAAGGAAGAAGGCUUUCGGGUUGUAAACUUCUUUUAUGAGAGACGAAAGAAAUGACGGUACCUCAUGAAUAAGCCACGGCUAACUACGUGCCAGCAGCCGCGGUAAUACGGAGGAUGCGAGCGUUAUCCGGAUUUAUUGGGUUUAAAGGGUGCGCAGGCGGCCUGUUAAGUCAGCGGAAAAAGCCGGGGGCCAACCCCGGGCGAGCCGUUGAAACUGGCGGGCUGGAGUUGGAGAGAAGUACGCGGAAUGCGCGGUGUAGCGGUGAAAUGCUUAGAUAUCGCGCAGAACCCCGAUUGCGAAGGCAGCGUACCGGCUCCACACUGACGCUGAGGCACGAAAGCGUGGGUAUCGAACAGGAUUAGAUACCCCAGUAA